ACGCUGGCGGCACGCCUAACACAUGCAAGUCGAACGAAGUAGCAAUACUUAGUGGCAGACGGGUGAGUAACAUGUAGGUAUCUGCCCUUUGGCCUGGAAUAACACGAGGAAACUUGUGCUAAUACCGGAUAAGUCUUUACGGAGAAAGCUUUAUGCACCAUUGGAUGAGCCUGCACUUGAUUAGUUUGUUGGUGGGGUAAUGGCCUACCAAGACUGUGAUCAGUAGCUGAUUUGAGAGGAUGAUCAGCCACAUUGGGACUGAGACACGGCCCAAACUCCUACGGGAGGCAGCAGUGGGGAAUCUUGCACAAUGGAGGAAACUCUGAUGCAGCGAUGCCGCGUGAGUGAAGAAGGCCCUUGGGUUGUAAAGCUCUUUCGUCGGGGAAGAAAAUGACUGCACCCGAAUAAGAAGGUCCGGCUAACUUCGUGCCAGCAGCCGCGGUAAUACGAAGGGACCUAGCGUAGUUCGGAAUUACUGGGCUUAAAGAGUUCGUAGGUGGUUGAAAAAGUUGGUGGUGAAAUCCCAGAGCUUAACUCUGGAACUGCCAUCAAAACUUUUCAGCUAGAGUAUGAUAGAGGAAAGCAGAAUUUCUAGUGUAGAGGUGAAAUUCGUAGAUAUUAGAAAGAAUACCAAUUGCGAAGGCAGCUUUCUGGAUCAUUACUGACACUGAGGAACGAAAGCAUGGGUAGCGAAGAGGAUUAGAUACCCUCGUAGUCCAUGCCGUAAACGAUGUGUGUUAGACGUUGGAAAUUUAUUUUCAGUGUCGCAGCGAAAGCGAUAAACACACCGCCUGGGGAGUACGACCGCAAGGUUAAAACUCAAAUGAAUUGACGGGGACCCGCACAAGUAGUGGAGCAUGUGGUUUAAUUCGAAGAUACGCGCAGAACCUUACCAACACUUGACAUGUUCGUCGCGACUUUAAGAGAUUAAAGUUUUCGGUUCGGCCGGACGAAACACAGGUGCUGCAUGGCUGUCGUCAGCUCGUGUCGUGAGAUGUUGGGUUAAGUCCCGCAACGAGCGCAACCCUCACUUUUAGUUGCCAUCAUUUAGUUGGGCACUCUGAAAGAACUGCCAGUGAUAAGCUGGAGGAAGGUGGGGAUGACGUCAAGUCCUCAUGGCCCUUACGUGUUGGGCUACACACGUGCUACAAUGGUAUCUACAACAGGAAGCAAGGCGGCGACGUCAAGCAAAUCCUUAAAAGAUACCUCAGUUCGGAUUGCACUCUGCAACUCGAGUGCAUGAAGCUGGAAUUACUAGUAAUCGUGGAUCAGCGUGCCACGGUGAAUGCGUUCCCGGGUCUUGCACUCACCGCCCGUCA
rnacentral:rRNA from 1 species